UCUAUGGGAAUAAAUGUGGAUGGUGUCGCUAGACGCCUGGUUCAUGUUAGUUGGACAUGAGUUACCAUCUGUUUUUCCGCACCGAGUUGCUAGUCAAGUACUCUUGAUUUAUGUAAAUCGUUCAGUCCAUUUACAACUUCUGUUUGCCUGAGUAAGUGUUUGAUGUUUACAGCCUGAGUAAGUGUUUGAUGUUUACAACUUCUGUCUUGCUUUUGGUUUGUUUGAGAUUGUCGUUAGUUCAGAUGUUUGAUGCUGCGAUCCUUGUUGAGUACUACUCCCGUCCCAUAAUAUAAGAACGUUUUUUUUAAGCAAAUAUAGCUUGAAAAAUGUGUUUAUAUUAUAGGACGGAGCGAGUAUAUAUGAGCAAGAAUUAUGUUCUGAAUAGAUAUCUAGUAGUCAAUUCGAGGCCCAUUUCCUUCAUAUCUAGGCGAUGAGCUACUCUUUUUAUACUCUCUCCAUUCCUG
rnacentral:lncRNA from 1 species